rnacentral:rRNA from 1 species
UACGUAGGGGGCAAGCGUUGUCCGGAUUCAUUGGGCGUAAAGAGCGUGUAGGCGGCCAGGUAGGUCGGUUGUGAAAACUGGAGGCUCAACCUUCAGAGGUCGACCGAAACCAUCUGGCUAGAGUCCGGGAGAGGAGAGUGGAAUUCCUGGUGUAGCGGUGAAAUGCGCAGAUAUCAGGAAGAACACCCGUGGCGAAAGCGGCUCUCUGGAACGGUACUGACGCUGAGACGCGAAUGCGUGGGGAGCGAACAGG